GUUAAACACUCUUUAGUGUGCACAGACUGUGAUUUAAUGGAACCUUGUCCAGAGGGGAGGCCGCCGGGUUAGUCCGAGCAUUUGACUAACACGGGACUUUGCAGUAUCAAAGAAAUCUGGGUGUUUCUACUGGCACACUCAUAUAACAACUCCAGUGUCCUCAUUCGUCUUCCGGCUCCAUAACAUUAUUCGCAUACAGAACUCAACACUUUAUGUGUCAAUAACAAGUCUGGAGGUUUCUGACUAUGGGUACAAGAGGUAAGCUGAAGACAGAGACGACAUGAAACUUUGGUAGCCAGGUACAAGACUACACGGCGACGGUACCCAGAAGACCACAGAACAUUCUGUGGAACGCAAGAAUUGUGCUUUCUACUACUAACUGUUAGUUCGCCCGAGGUAACGGAGAAUGUCAUCAUCAUAACCACAGUUAUUAUUGUUGAUGUUGAUUCGUUAAUUCAUUUGCAGAUUUUAACACAUUAUUUUUAUCAUUUGCUGCAGUUUUAGUUCUUCGCUCCAACUGGCCUUAUCUGGCCGCUGUCAAUCAAUGAAUUAAACCGAAUUUAAUUAUUAUAUUAUCAUUAACUGAAUGUGUUUCUACUCCUAGUUCUAUCUGCAGAAAAACUGUAAUUUUAACACAAAUUUAUUUUAUUCAUUUCCUUACAUUUAACCUUCCGUUAAACUUUUUAUCUACACGUCUGGACCCUAUCUUCAGUGUUAACUGCUGACCUAUGCUGUCAUUAGAAUAUACUAUUUUACAGUUAUCUAUUUUUCAUAAUAAUAUUUUUUUUAGAUCCUGCCUGUAAUUGUCUUUAUUUGCCACGUCGUCAUGCUUUUUAAUUAUUUAACUGAUAUAAUUUAUAUGAAUUAUUUAAACAUUUCAUCCACUUUCCUUUACGACGUAGCAGCAUAAUCCUUAAAAAGCAGUUACAGAAUACAGCAACACACCUUUCGGCCUUUCAAAGUUAUGGAAUCCCACAUUUUACAAUGUAAUGUCUUACACCUCGCCUUCACCCAAUGCAAAGAUCACGUCAUGUGAAACAAGUUUAAUUUCAGAAAUCCCGUCUUUUACCUUAAGUUGCUGUUACUAGUGCAUGCAGUAAUCGUAAAACUCUGAUUUACAUAUAAUGUUACGGGACAUCAUGUUUCUUAUUGUUUACGGCAGUAUAAUGGUUAAAUAAUGAGACUUAGAAAGCACCAAAGGCACUACUGAUCAAACUUUCCGUUUAAAUAACUCGGGUCGUAACAUCCCCAUAUAAACCUAAUGUCCUUUUUAGUACAAAUAAUGAAAGUGUAGAGAGAACUCAAAAUGUUACGGAUGGGAUUACUAUUGGUGACACGUACAGACCUAUGAAUUUUUGUAUUUCCUCGCAAAGAAACGAUUUUGAUACGAUAUUGAGAUUCCUGUUUGCUUUCGACUUUUACGUAAUAAAAUUCUAGGCACCGGAUUGCGAGUGUGCUCCACUCAACAUCCCCAAUGUCACGGAAAGCAGAGAAAGUCCCAAAGAAAUGGCACUCCUUAAAACUACUCAAGCCGGUAGCAAAGUGAAUGCAGCCUAGAACUGCUAAUAAAGGUUACCGCACAUCACCAUACCACUGUUCGUGACAAUUUAACUGUGACAAGAAGAAGAACUGUAUUUACCAUUCGAAACAAAAUAAUUUCUUCAAGAAAGACAGCGCAAGGUCGAAUGGAACAAUUCGUUAAACUAUCAAAAAACUUCAAGGGAAGAGAAACGCCUGGAAGAUCUAAAUGUCGACGGACCCCGAAGAAAGAUGUGUAGUUGUAGAUUGGACUCAAACAUGCGGUGAAAUGGCGAUCUUUUGCAAAAAAUUGAUGUCUCCUACUUUGUAUUCGGGAGGUUCUGGGUUCAAAUCUCCGGCCGGAGACCGGCUAUCCUCACUGGGGGUUUCUACGUAGAAAAUUCUGAGACAUUACCUUAAAUUAUGUCAUGACCGCUUCCUUCCACGUCCUUUCCAAUUCAUUACUCGCUGUCAUCCUCUCAUAAUAUGAUCUACUGGAAGAGUGUCGUUAAAUAUUCUAUAAAUAAAUAAGUAGGAUUCGGUAACAGCAUGGAAUUUUUGCCGAAGUUACUGUCAAAAGUAUUCUACUGAAAUAAACCUACUAUCAUUUAUUUAAUGGUCAAUGUAUUUUUUACAUACUGAUGAAGAUUGGCUUUAAAAAUCAAAAUAGCCACAAAUUUUCAUAAAUUCAGUGACUCCGGAUAUGUCCUGGUAAGACAUCCAUGUAUUUUAUACAAAUUCAUGAGGUUAUUAAAAACACUGGGGUCAAUUAAAUUA